GUAGUCUGUGUUCCCUGAUGUCGUCGCUCCUCGCGUCACGUUGUAGUCUGAACACAACAUGACACAGCCUCAUGGGAAAAAAGACACGAGGGUCAGCCUUCUGGGGAUGAAGAGAGAAGGAGAAGAACAAGGAGUGUUCAGAGGAUCUUUAUUCGGGUGGGGAGAAAUGAGGCCUGUUGUGGAGCGAAAAGGUGACCGACCUCAGCUGUUCGGGCACCAGAGACGUAUGGAUGAAAGCUCCCUUUGUGCUUCACGUUUAGGGCGGGAAACGGUCUAAUGCAUAGAAAAAGCUAUCUUCCUUUCCAGCGCUUCACUUUAAAUGUCGUAUUAGCCUCAGCUGUGCCUCUCAUCUGUGGAGAAUGUACUUUACAUCUGCGAGCCAUUUGAAAAAUAAGACUUAUUACCUGUU